UACGAAGGGGGCUAGCGUUACUCGGAAUUACUGGGCGUAAAGCGUGCGCAGGCGGCGCGUUAAGACAGGUGUGAAAGCCCCGAGCUUAACUUGGGAAUUGCGCUUGUGACUGGCGUGCUGGAGUGUGGCAGAGGGAGGUGGAAUUCCACGUGUAGCAGUGAAAUGCGUAGAGAUGUGGAGGAACACCGAUGGCGAAGGCAGCCUCCUGGGCCAGCACUGACGCUCAUGCACGAAAGCGUGGGGAGCAAACAGG
rnacentral:rRNA from 1 species